rnacentral:rRNA from 1 species
UACGUAGGGUGCAAGCGUUGUCCGGAAUUAUUGGGCGUAAAGAGCUCGUAGGCGGUCUGUCGCGUCUGCUGUGAAAACUCGGGGCUUAACCCCGGGCCUGCAGUGGGUACGGGCAGACUAGAGUGCGGUAGGGGAGACUGGAAUUCCUGGUGUAGCGGUGAAAUGCGCAGAUAUCAGGAGGAACACCGGUGGCGAAGGCGGGUCACUGGCUCGGAACUGACGCUGAGGUGCGAAAGCGUGGGGAGCAAACAGG